CCCCCUCCCUCCCGGUCCCCCGCGGAGCCCGACGCCGCGCGCACCCCGCCCGCGGCGGCCUAGGGAGAGCUCGCGGGUGGCUCUCCGGGGCGCUGGUGCCCUCGCGGCCUGCCCGGGAGGAGGAGGAAGAGGAGGGGGAGGGAGGGGAUGCGAAAGUGGGUCAGGAAUGUAACUGGACGCUGCGCACCCGCACGCACCUCCUCCCCCGCCCCCAUACCGGCAGCGGCGGCCCGCGCAAGCCUUGGAAAGCGAGUCUUUUGCCGUUGUGGUUCCCCAGCCUUAUCGGUGGACGGUUACCAGGGGAUCCCGAGGGAUGUGUUUCCCUGUGACCCUUUGGGAAGAAAAACUUAGUUGCCUCAGUAACCGAGCUUGGCUUGGAUGGGAGGAUGCAGUGAAUGUUCUAGGUGAGCCUGAGGGUGAAGAGGCGGCAGUUGCACUAGGGAGCGGAUUAACUUUUCUUGUUACUGAACCAAGACGUGAAAGAAAAGCUGGAGAGGAGAUAGAGGAUCUUCAGUUCAACUGGCAAAAGUCUUUAUUUUCGCUUAUGGUGUUUUCCUGAACUGUACAACAGCUGAAGCUGGAAACGGACCAAUUCCAUACCCUGGAUAGUCUUGCAUUUGAAUGAAAAUGGCAGAGUUAUGCAGAACUUUUCUGGAAACUUGAAAAAAAAUGAAGACGUUCAUGAUCUUAGAUUUGGUCACCCUGUUAGGGAGCGUGAUUUCCUUCUGUGUGAGAUAAUGAGACUGUCAAAUCUUGGUUCAAACCAGCAUUGUUGUUAUAGAAAUGAAUUGAAAAUUUAAGUAGAAAAUGAAGUGGCAGACUUCCUUUUUCCCCCCAUCCCUUCUCCCCACGCCUCAAUUUCUUCUACAUUCAUGAAACAUUUCUAUGUAGGGUGAUCUUCAUUUUAGUUAUAAAUCAGAUCUAUAAAGCAAGUUAAAUUAAGGAAUAAAUAUCUGUUAAGAAAG